GACGAACGCUGGCGGCGUGCUUAACACAUGCAAGUCGAACGGAAAGGCCCUGCUUUUGUGGGGUGCUCGAGUGGCGAACGGGUGAGUAACACGGGAGUAACCUGCCCUUGACUUUGGGAUAACUUCAGGAAACUGGGGCUAAUACCGGAUAGGAGCUCCUGCUGCAUGGUGGGGGUUGGAAAGUUUCGGCGGUUGGGGAUGGACUCGCGGCUUAUCAGCUUGUUGGUGGGGUAGUGGCUUACCAAGGCUUUGACGGGUAGCCGGCCUGAGAGGGUGACCGGCCACAUUGGGACUGAGAUACGGCCCAGACUCCUACGGGAGGCAGCAGUGGGGAAUAUUGCACAAUGGGCGGAAGCCUGAUGCAGCAACGCCGCGUGCGGGAUGACGGCCUUCGGGUGGUAAACCGCUUUCGCCUGUGACGAAGCGUGAGUGACGGUAAUGGGUAAAGAAGCACCGGCUAACUACGUG
rnacentral:rRNA from 1 species